GUUUUGUUUUCUCAGUUUACAUGUGAUCGACAUGCUCAAUAAAUUAUCCCUAGACAACAAGUUCAUUAACCAAAUCUAAGUGCCACCGCAACAGAGACCCUUAAGUUAAACUAGUCUCAGACUCAAUCACCAUUGACGAGAGCUAACCUAACAGGCAUUACGAAUCAACAAGUUAAAGCCAAAACGCUCCCUACAACAAAUACCUUAGUACAGGGCCACGAAUCUCUGGAAUUAGUGGUUCGGACAUUUCAUCGAACACCUUUUGGGCGCGGAAAUGUCUAGGCUCAAAUUCCAGUUGAUCAGAAAGCAAUAGGCAUUAAGAACAACUAAUCCAGAAGGGAUCUAUAAAUCAAACUCAACCGCCUAGCAUACUGAGAAUUCUAAACUACCCUAACCCAUCCUCAGAAACCUAGUCACUACUCAUACAUCAUUGUAGAAAGCAUAAACGAUGAUAAGAAUGAAACCAUGAUAUCAGUAGAGUAAUAACAAGAUGAUAACAGGAUGAACAACAUUAAACAAAAUCAAAAGCAAAUACUGAAUAGAUUAAGAGAAAUCUGGAUUACAAAAACGUCAAGAACACAGUGUCUGCGGAAUAAAACUUUGAUUAUCGAAAAUGUAAAGUACGUGCUACUUAUAGCAAAAUAUUUCGAAACCCUAAUACUCAAAAUGACACAGUAUUGGGACGGAUUAAGAACUAUACUCGACCUAGGUGGUCGAGUGAGUGGUCGAGUGAUAAGUACGGACUCUUAUGCUCGACCUACACAUGUUUUCAAAUCUACCAAUCCCUUUAAACAUUCAUUAGUUCUGGAACGUUAAUCAAGCAAUGCAUCAUCAAUGAACUCAUUGGGCUAAGGUACAGAUCAAGAGACAAAGAUGGUCCCUUACAGGAUAGGCUUCAGUAACAGGGGAUCUCUCAAAAAAUGACUAAGCUUUAGUAGAAUGCUAAAGGUAAGUCCCAAGCUAUGCAUACAGAGAUAAGAUCCUAUCUACCCAAAGUAUAUCAAAUGAAGCUCUAAUGGUAAUCCCAUCUCCAAUCCCAAUAUAAGAACCUAACUCUACUCUUUGCAUUCAUGAAUCUUUUAAGCCCUUUUUCUAAUCAUUCUUUUCUUUUCUCUUAACUCUAGGAGAAGCUUUCUCAACAUUUUGAUACUUCUAGAAGAUUUGGGUAUCCAUGAGUUCAAAUUUGAUGCAAACAUGAUAAUUAAAGAUCAAAUUCAGGUUCAAAUUGAUAGGAAAUGGUAUCAGAUCAUGACAAUGUGGUCGAGUAGAGCAAUCUAGGCAUGGUUCCGUUUUACUUUAAUUUCAUUGACUACGCAACAGACAACUAGCAACGAGGGCACUGCGUUUAUCUAGUA
rnacentral:sRNA from 1 species